GAUGAACGCUGGCGGCGUGCCUAAUACAUGCAAGUCGAGCGAACAGACGAGGAGCUUGCUCCUCUGACGUUAGCGGCGGACGGGUGAGUAACACGUGGAUAACCUACCUAUAAGACUGGGAUAACUUCGGGAAACCGGAGCUAAUACCGGAUAAUAUAUUGAACCGCAUGGUUCAAUAGUGAAAGACGGUUUUGCUGUCACUUAUAGAUGGAUCCGCGCCGCAUUAGCUAGUUGGUAAGGUAACGGCUUACCAAGGCAACGAUGCGUAGCCGACCUGAGAGGGUGAUCGGCCACACUGGAACUGAGACACGGUCCAGACUCCUACGGGAGGCAGCAGUAGGGAAUCUUCCGCAAUGGGCGAAAGCCUGACGGAGCAACGCCGCGUGAGUGAUGAACGUCUUCGGAUCGUAAAACUCUGUUAUUAGGGAAGAACAAAUGUGUAAGUAACUAUGCACGUCUUGACGGUACCUAAUCAGAAAGCCACGGCUAACUAC
rnacentral:rRNA from 1 species